rnacentral:lncRNA from 1 species
UGAAAAACAAAGCCAAAUUGAACGAGCCAUUAGGGAAAAAAAAGCUGUGGAAGAAGAACUAGAAAAGGUAAAAAGAAAAAGGAAAUAUACCUACCUAAAACACAACUACAAAUAUCCAACAAUUUUGUCUGCUUUCAUCACAUUAUCUACUAGCAACCCUUGUAUUUAUAAGUAUUCUCCUGGUGAGUGUUUUUAUUUUCUUGGAAUAUACUCAGAGUCUUCAUUUAAAUUCUGGUAUUGCCUGCAUACAUUUCUUUCCAAGAACAAUCAUAUUCUUUGACCAUAAAACUCCUUGCUUAACUGUAUCCCAAUAGGAAGUUUCAUUUUUUAAUUUUAUGUCAACUCUCUCUGGGGUUAGACCAUCUACAAAAAUAACAAAAUAAUUAACUAGAAAAUUAUAACAUUGCUAUGAUUUUUGCCUUUAAAAUUAUAAUAAUUAGGAAAAAUAUUGACCUCAAUUAAAUUUGAGAAAAACUUUAAAAUUUCUUUCUUUCUUACACUUUUUUUUUUUUGUACUGAGGAUUGAACCCAGGGGUGCUCAACCACUGAGCCACAUCCCCAGCCCUUUUUUUAUAUUUUGCUUAGAGACAGGGUCUCACUGAGUUGCAAAGUUUCUCGCCAAGUUGCAAAGGCUGACUUUGAGCUCGCAAUCCUUCUGCCUCAGCCUCCCGAGUUGCUAGGAUUACAGGCAUGUGCCAUAUAGCUUACCUCUUUACGCUUUUUUAUUAGCAACAAAUAUCACAUUUUUUUAAAGUGCCUUGGGAAAAGAAAAGACCAAAUUUGAACAUACAAUAUUUUAGAUGCUGUAUUAGGAACUGUCCUAGAGUAGUAAAUAACUUGUCCAAUAUUAAGAAAUAGUAAAUGAUAGUAAGCAUUUGACUUUCAAAGAUGAGCUACAUAGACAAAAAAUCAUGUGAUAUAUCCAUGUUCUCAAAAAUCAUGACACCAGAUAGUAAAAUAAUAAUUUAUAAAACAGAACUUGGUAUACAGCCUGAUUUUCAAGAAAAGAAAUGUAUACGUGUGUUCAAAGUGAGACCUUCCUGGUUACCACGCUCCUGGAAGGUAGAUCCUUGUGAGUCUCCAUCUGUCAGGUUGGGUCCUCUUUAGCUUGCCACCUGCUGCUGUACAUUGGGGUUUGAGGAAUUCUUGAUCACUACUUGGGUUGGAUCAAGGAAUAGGCUCCACUGGGGAAAUGGAGCACCUUCAAGGCUGAAGACAGCAGGCAGAGCAAAGGCACACUCCCUGCUCUCUCCCUGUCCCACAGGCCAGCCUGCCUGGUCACAGUCCUGCUGAGACUGAAGUGCAGUUGUGCUAGCAACACCAUGCAGAUAUGCUGGUGCUCUGCCUUUUCAUAGUGCAGGUGUGACAGCAGUCUAGUCAGUGGAGAAGACACAGGUUGUGUGGCCAGGUGGUCUGGAUCUGGGGAGUAGCUGGGUGGGACUUAUCAAAAUGGAGAAUACUACCAUCUGAAGACCUUGCUUCCCUUGGGGUGUGUCAGCCCCUGUGCUGUAAGUGCAAGUCCAGAGUCUCAUGAGAAGCUAAGCUGGGGUUCAGCCACUGCUGGGGAAGGGGAACUCCCAUAGCUACAUCACUGUCCAGAUAAGCCAGAGGGAGAUUCUGGAGCCAGAUAGUUCUACUCAUUGCAGUAUUUCAAUUUUGGUAAAUUGUCUCAAAGGUUGUUUAUCAAAGAAUUGCCAGUGGUUAUCUCUAAGUUGACAUUUAUAGUAUGUUUUGUUUUGUUUUUAGCUUUGGCUGCUUUACAUUUCAUAUUAUUAGCAUGAGUAAUUUUUUAAAAAUAAGUGAUUAUAUCUCAGUUUUCAGCAAUUUAUUUUGUAAAUGUGAAGCAAUUAGAAUUAAUCUUUGAUGUGUUUUAAUACAUUAUAGUGGAAACAGAUGAAUACAUGAUUGUGACUUUUUGUCAUCAUUGAUUUCAGUAUCUAAACUGUAUAAUUUAUUAAGAGGGUUUCCUUCUAUAAGGAAGUACACAUAUAAGCCUCUUCUGCAGAUUUACCGUGAAGGCAGAGGGAAUGAAAGUGACUACAGAAAACUGGAAGAAAUGCACCAAAGAUAUCUGAUUGCAGAGAGCUCAAAAGACGAUCUUCAGCUAAGACUUAAGAAAGCAGAAAGUAGAAUAAAACAACUUGAAAUUAAGUAAGUUUUCUUUUGGGUUUUCUGUGAUGACAUCUUCAGAAUUCCCAUGAUUUUUGAGAUUCCUGGGUGUGUGUGUGUGAGAGAGAGAGAGAGAGAGAGAGAGAGAGAGAGGACUCAUACAUCUUGUGUUGAAAGGACCAAAUACAGUUUUUUUCAAGACUAUUUCAAAAAACCAGUUUCUUCAGAAGGAAAAGAUUUAACAGUGGCAUACCAUUUUUUUUUCAUACUAUGUAAUUAUUGUAAUAGUUUGUAAUUAUCUUUAGUAUGUUUCUUGCGAUAUUGCAUAUUAUUUAAUGAACCAUCAUGUUUAUUACAUUAUCUAUAAAAGUGAUAAACCUAUAAAAUGCCAUAUCCCUUCUGAAUUUACUUUUUUUCACCAGAAUGUUACUUAAGUAUAGUAAAGAUUUAUUUAAAUUACCUGAAACUCUAAUCUCUAUAUAUAUUCAAAAGAUAUUUUUUAAAUGAAGACAAUUUUAUUUCUUAAAAUACAUACACUAAUACCUGAAGUGUUUUUUCAAAAGGAGAUUCUGCAUAUUUGUUUCAUAAACAUAUUGUUAUUUUCAGUAAUCUAGAUAAUUGCUUGUGUGAUUACUUCCAAAGGAAGCAUGCAGAAGGAGCCAGUAUAUUCCUAGAAAUUCUUGUAUGUACUAAGAAAGGUUUCUCUCAAUACCAUGUGUUCGUUCAUAGGAGUCCCUCCACUGCACAUCCCUUCACAUCCUGCAUUUGUUUUAAUUCACAGUGUCUCUCUAUUUAUGUGUUUUUCUGAGUAAAAAGAGAAGUCACUGAAGUCUUCUUCAUGUUCCUUAUAUUCACAUUUUUUCUUCAGGGUGAAUUCACAUGUGUUUUCUACAGGACACAGUCACAAAAAACUACUUCCUCAUUUCUUUCAUUCAUAAUGUUUGUGUGAAUUUUCAUAUGUUCCUCAACUAUCCAGGGAAAACUGAAGGCUAUCCUACUUUCCUUACAUUUGUGAGGUUUCUUUUUAGUUGUAUGUUCACAUUUUUCUUCAGGAAUGAAAAGAAAGUAAAUAUUUUUCCACAUUUCAUACAUUUGUAAGAUUUUAUUCCACUGUAAAUUCCUCAUGAAUUUUGAGAUAUAAGGAAAAAUCUAAGACUUUUCCACAUUGUUCACACAUUAAUGUAGUUUCUCUUGGGGCUUUUAUUUACUUCCUAAAGAAGAUUAACAAUUUAAAGUUAUUUCACUUCUUAACAGAGUUUUACUCCAGCAUGGGUUCCCACUUCUUUCCUAAAGGUUGAGUAACAACUAAGGGUGGUCCAUAUUUCCUACUCACAAGGAUAUCUGUAUGUGUGUGUGUGUGUGUGUGUGUAUUGUUUGUGUAUAUAUGUGUGUGUACACACGUACAUAUCCUUGUUUGUAUGUAUAUAUCGACAUAUAUUGCUUCCCUCUACCGUGAGUUCAUUCAUGUUUGUUAAAGUGUGUAAGAUAUAUAGUCUUUCCUAUGUUCUUGACUUGCAUGGGAAUUUUUCUAAUGUAAACAUAAGACAAUGGAAAAUUUUAAAGACUUACCCACAUUUAUUACAUCAUAUGCUUUUUCCCCCAUGUGAGUUCUUACAUAUUCAGUGAAAGAUUAGUACUAUCUAAAGGCUUUCCUAUUUUCCUUACUUCCAUAUGAGUUCUCUCCACUAUAAAGUCUUAUAGGUUACAUAAGGUAUAAGAUGUUUGAAGUCUUUCCCACAACCCUCAAUUGUAGAAGUCUCUCCCAGUAUGCAUUUGAAUAUAUUGAAUAAGGUGUGAAGAUUAGAUGAAAUGCUUUCCCAUGUUCCUUACAUGCAAAAAGCUUCUCUCCAUUUAUAGGCUUCUUGAGUUCUUUUGCUUCAUUAAGGAAAUGGGAGUUGCUAAAGACUUCCAAACACCCUGUACAAGUAGUAUACUUCUUUCUGGGAUUAAUUGUUCCAUGUUUGUUAGGACAUGAGAAAGUAGCAAAGACUACCCCACAUUCCCUACACACAAAGGACUUUUCUCCAAUGUAAAUUUUUACAUGCGCUUGGAGGUGCACGAGAUAAAGGUUUUCGUACAGUCACUUCGUUCAAAGGUUUUCUCUUAAUUGUGAAUUUUCCUGUCCAUUUCUGGUUUCAGGAAUGCUAGGACUGCUUUUUCUUAGUCUUCAUUUGUCUCUAGGUUUCCCUUCUUCUUCAAUUUUUUUCACCAAAUAAUUUGAUUAAAAAACAGUUCUUUGUACUGUAAAGUUUCCUCUACUCAAGACAUAUAUGUGCUGUCAUUCACUUGGUUUUUCUGUUCCAUUGUGGACUUUUUGACUUUUGACAGAGGGCACAGAAACGUGUGGUUGUUUCUGAUCUUAGCAUUUUUCUGAUAUUAGCAUUCUUUUAUUAUCAUUGCUUGGAUACCUCCUUUCAUUAGCAACUCUGUCAACCAACCUUUAAACAGAAGAAGAAGAGCAGCAUGUUUAGUGGAAUCAAAGAUUUAAUAUAGAAAUCAGAGCAUACAAGAAUGUGGGAGGAACUGGGGAAGCAAAGAUACAGCAGGGAGGCAGUAAAGGUCAGAAAAUAAGUAACCGUGUCUGCCUCAACUUAAGCCAUUACAAUAUAAAUAUAGAAGUGAUAUUGUUUGAUAUUGAUAGGUGUUUACUCUGAUACCUAUUGACCAGGAAUGUUCGGAGUGGUGAUUAUCUGGGAUGGAAAAGAUGAAAAUUUUAGAAAAUAGGAAUAAAAAUUAGAAGUGUAUUUAUUGAAGUACAUGUUGAACCAUACAUGUUGAGAGUUUAUCUCACCUAAUAAUCCAUGACUGAGAAAGUUCAAGAAACAUAACCUGAUACCUAUGGUAAAACAAGUUUACACAACUAGAAUUUGUAAAACCAUUUCUAAGACAUGAAACAAGAAAAUAUGAAAAUAGAUUUUAUCAUAAUCUCAUAGUGUAGUCAACUGUUAUGUUUUCCCGUGGAGUUUACUGAUGAAGCAAAGUUUUGAUUAUGAUUAUGUUAUUUAUUGUCUUCAGUUUGUUCCUUGAAAAGUCCUUAUACAAUGAUUCUCAGUGUUAGUAAAAAGUUGAAAUAAGUUUCACAUCGAUUUUCCAGAUGAGUGGUAACAGUCGUUUGUCUGUUCUUAGUUAAGAUUGUUAAAUAUAUUUGCCUUCAUUGUUAAAUGUAUUACAUAGCAUUUUGAAACCACAUAAAUAUAAAGUAAAAAAAUGGCUCUGAAUAAAGGAAACAGAAGUCUGUACUAGAAAAGGUGGGUAGACAUUUUGAUUUCUGCUAUUGGUCAUUAAGAGUUAAGAGUUCUUUUUGCCUUUUUUAAAAAUCAGCUCCUCAGAAGAGAUAUCACGUUCCCAUGAAAUG